rnacentral:rRNA from 1 species
CGCGUCUUAAGCAUGCAAGUCGAACGGCAAGAGGUAGCAAUACCUCCUAGAGUGGCGGACUGGUGAGUAACACGUGGGUGACAUACCCUCAGAUGGGGAUAGCUAUUAGAAAUAGUAGAUAAUACCGAAUACGAGCACAGGGGUUAGAGAUCUGUGAGGAAAGGAGCUAAGGCUCCGCUGAAGGAAUGGCCUGCGGCCCAUUAGCUAGUUGGUGAGGUAAGAGCCCACCAAGGCGAUGAUGGGUAUCCGGCCUUAGAGGGUGAACGGACACAUUGGGACUGAGAUACGGCCCAGACUCCUACGGGAGGCAGCAGCUAAGAAUAUUGGUCAAUGGACGAGAGUCUGAACCAGCCAAAGUAGCGUGAAGGAUGACUGCCCUAUGGGUUGUAAACUUCUUUUAUAAGGGAAUAAAGUGAGGGACGUGUCCCUUUUUGUAUGUACCUUAUGAAUAAGGAUCGGCUAACUCCGUGCCAGCAGCCGC